GACGAACGCUGGCGGCGUGCUUAACACAUGCAAGUCGAACGGAAAGGCCCUGCUUUUGUGGGGUGCUCGAGUGGCGAACGGGUGAGUAACACGCGUGUAACCUGCCCUUGUCUUUCGGAUAACUUCUGGAAACUGGGGCUAAUACCGGAUAGGAGCUCUUGCAGCACGGUGUGGUUUGGAAAGUGUCGGCGGUUGGGGAUGGACUCGCGGCUUAUCAGCUUGUUUGUGGGGUAGUGGCUUACCAAGGCUUUGACGGGUAGCCGGCCUGAGAGGGUGAACGGCCACAAUGGGACUGAGAGACGGCCCAGACUCCUACGGGAGGCAGCAGUGGGGAAUAUUGCACAAUGGCAGGAAGCCUGAUGCAGCAAUGCCGCGUGCGGGAUGACGGCCUUCGGGUUGUAAACCGCUUUCGCCUGGGACGAAGCGUGAGUGACGGUAAUGGGUAAAGAAGCACCGGCUAACUACGUG
rnacentral:rRNA from 1 species